AAGGGAGACCUAAUUCCGGUAGGAGACGAAAAAAAAGUAGUCCCUACCAAGAAUCAAUCCCAAAGGGUCGAAGCGAGGCAAGAUUGGCUUUCAAACUAGGUUCUGGGUUCAAACAAGACCUGAAUCAGGAACAAGGGCUAUUAGCUCAGGUGGUUAGAGCGCACCCCUGAUAAGGGUGAGGUCCCUGGUUCGAGUCCAGGAUGGCCCACCUGCACAGGUGGCAAAAACAAAGAAGCGAGGAAUCAGCACCUUAUCUUACUCAUAUAGUAAGAGAGAAUGCUGGCUCUGAGUAAAGAGUCCAGAGGAACCUUGAAAACUGCAUAGAGCUAGGUGAAAAAGCCAAAAAAGAAGACCGCAA
rnacentral:tRNA from 1 species